rnacentral:rRNA from 1 species
GAUAAUAAUUUAAAGUCUGACCUGCCCACUGAUAUUAAUUAAAGGGCCGCAGUAUUUUGACUGUGCAAAGGUAGCAUAAUCAUUAGUCUUUUAAUUGAGGACUGGUAUGAAUGGUUUAACGAAAUAUUAGCUGUCUCAUAGUAAUAAUAUAGAAUUUAACUUUUAAGUCAAAAGGCUUAAAUGUAAUUAGAGGACGAGAAGACCCUAUAGAGCUUAAUAUUUAUAUUUUUAAAUUUUAUUUAGGUGUUUAUAAUUUUUAGAUUUAAGAAUAUUUUAUUGGGGUGAUAAGAAGAUUAAAAUAACUCUUUAUUUAUAUAAACAUUAAUUUAUGAAUAAUUGAUCCAUUAAUAAUGAUUAUAAGAUUAAGUUACCUUAGGGAUAACAGCGUAAUAUUUUUUGAGAGUUCUUAUCAACAAAAAAGAUUGCGACCUCGAUGUUGGAUUAAGGUAAUAAUUGGGUGUAGAAGUUCAAAUUUUAGGUCUGUUCGACCUUUAAAUCCUUACAUGAUCUGAGUU